rnacentral:rRNA from 1 species
AGCAGCCGCGGUAAUUCCAGCUCCAAUAGCGUAUAUUAAAGUUGUUGCAGUUAAAAAGCUCGUAGUUGAAUUUCGGGAUCAAUUUGCUGGUCGUGCCUUUGGUACGCACUGGUAUUAUUGGUUUCUCCUUUCUGAUGAAUCGCGAUGUCAUUAAUUUGGUGUCGUGGGGAAUCAGGACCGUUACUUUGAAAAAAUUAGAGUGUUUAAAGCAGGCUCACGCUUGAAUACAUUAGCAUGGAAUAAUGAAAUAGGACGUUUGAUUCUAUUUUGUUGGUUUCUAGGAUCGACGUAAUGAUUAAUAGGGAUAGUUGGGGGCAUUAGUAUUCAAUUGUCAGAGGUGAAAUUCUUGGAUUUAUUGAAGACUAACUACUGCGAAAGCAUUUGCCAAGGAUGUUUUCAUUAAUCAAGAGCGAAAGUUAGGGGAUCGAAGACGAUCAGAUACCGUCGUAGUCUUAACCAUAAACUAUGCCGACUAGGGAUCGGAUGAUGUUAAUUUUUAAUGACUCAUUC